rnacentral:tmRNA from 1 species
GGGGAUGCGUGGUUUCGACAGGGCAGGCGACGUGAGCGUCGCGAGCCGAGGAACGCCGUUCCUCCUCGUUAAUCCGAACGGCAGCCAGAUAACUGGCACAAAUUCCUACGCACUCGCUGCCUAGUCAGUGAGCGUCCUCCCGGUCUCCCCUUCGCGGGCCGGGAAGGGCGACUUAAGCGAAGGUGCGGUCCGCCGAUCGGCCGGUAGGCGGACUCAAGAUUUCCGGCCUGGGGGAGCCGAGAGCGCGUCGGUGCGCGCUAGGUUUCCCGAGACAAAAAACCGCCGACCACGCUCGUAGAAGCGCUCACUUCAACGGCCUUGGACGGGGAGUUCGACCCUCCCCCAUCUCCACAG